UACGGAGGGUGCAAGCGUUAAUCGGAAUUACUGGGCGUAAAGCGUGCGCAGGCGGUUUGUUAAGUCUGCUGUGAAAUCCCCGAGCUCAACUUGGGAAUUGCAGUGGAUACUGGCAAGCUGGAGUACGGUAGAGGAAGGUGGAAUUCCCGGUGUAGCAGUGAAAUGCGUAGAGAUCGGGAGGAACACCAGUGGCGAAGGCGAGUCUCUGGACAUUUCCUGACGCUGAGGCACGAAAGCCAGGGGAGCAAACGGG
rnacentral:rRNA from 1 species